rnacentral:lncRNA from 1 species
UGUCGCUCUCUCACCCAGGCUGGAGUGCAGUGGCGCUAUCUUGGCUCACUGCAACAUCUGCUUCCCAGGUUCAAGUGAUUAUCCUGCCUCAGCCUCCCAAGUUGCUGGGAUUACAGGCGUGUGCCACCACGCCUGGCUAAUUUACUAAACUAAUAAAUUACUAAAUUAGUAAGUUACUAGUAAAUUAGUAAUUACUAAAAUAUAAUUUUUAGUAGAGAUGGGAUUUCAUCAUGUUGGCCAGGCUGGUCAUGAACUCCUGACCUCAAUGGAUCCUCCUGCCUCAGCUUCCUGAGUAGCUGGGACCACAGGUGCACACCACCACGCCCAGGUAAUUAAUUUUUAUUUUUUGUAGAGUCGGGGGUCUCCCUAUGUUUCCCAGGCUGGCCUCGAACUCCUGACCUCAAGUGAUCCUCCCACCUCAGCCUCCCCGAGUGCUGGGAUUAAAGACGUGAGCCACGGCACCUGGCCUGAAUUUUCCUCAAAUUCAAAAAAUCCUGAUGAAGGUUUGGCUAAAAUCUUUGGUGAGUUACCCCACUCCCUGUGGAACCUCAGGCUGGAUUUGAAGAGUUGCGUGCAUGGUCCUCAUUGUCUCCCAGGUAACCUGUUCCCGCUGCUGUGAAGGGAAGGCAGGUGCUCUUCCUUGAGGCUAGAAUCUGUCUACGUGUCACAGUCUCAGGAAAUUAAGCAAAACAGAUGAUAAACACCUCAAAAGGACCCUACUGAGCAUCAGUGGAGCAGAGCAGGGCCAUGUGGGACUGCGGCGUCAGAUGCCACCUCACACUAGCUGUGACACACCUGCCUCGCCAGUUUCUGCUCUGAGGCCCCAAAGCCGAGCUGAACCUCCUCCAGGGGUUCUCAGCCCUAACUGAGCAUGAAAACCCCUGGGGCAAUCCUCUUUUUAACAAUUGAGACAUUCCACACACACCCCACAUCAGAUUUUGGGGUGUGGGGAUAGACCUUCACAUUUGUAGUUUUCUAACCCUCCAGGGGACACUAGGCUGAGACUCAUUGGUCUCCACUCUGAACCUUCCACUGAACAUGUGAGAAAAACUAAGGCCCAGGGAAGUCUUUAGCAGAGAGCUGAGACGGAGAAAAGGGUUCUGAACCACAGCUGUCUGCUGAAGGAAGCUGUCCAAAGGCCAGUGAAGUCUCUCCUGAGGGUGCCUGGGCUGUGCAUCAGGAGUGAAGGUUGAGGGUCACCUUAGGUGUGAGAAGGAGCAACUGGGAGAGUGGCGCUGAUGCUUCCCCCCGGGUUAGGAGGCAUUUGGAUCACAGAGCGAUGCCUGUUCAUUCCUGCUUGCAAGGGAGCAGAUCUCUCGACACCCGAUGGGCCUCUAUUCCGUUCCGGCAGCUGUCCGUGUCAGGAGCGCUGGGCUUGCUCCUCCCCACGGGAGCCAUCACAGAGGCCUCGGGCAGUCUGCAUAGACAACUGCCUGGCAGGUGACCAGGAGGGGAUGCAUGAGCAGAUGCAGGUAGCACUCGCAGUCCCCCUAGCUGUGCCCUCAGCACCUGCUGUCUAGGAGGCAGAAGCCUUGUUCUCGGCCUUGCAGGUGACCCCAGUGUCUCUGAAUUCGGCCCCAUAUGUGUAGGAGGGGAGUGAUUGCAUCUGAAGAUGGGAGUCUGGUUGGGGGUUUGGGAAGCUCCCAUCACCCCUCAAGAGUCCACUGACCAGCCCAGCUCACACCAGGUGGGCCUUGGCACUGGAGGCCACGGCUCAACUCUGCAGUUCCCUCUGGGCAGCAUUUCCAGGGACUCGUAGGUCAGCAUGGUCAUCAAGGACAGGUGGUGAGAGCAGCUCCUCAUUGUCCUGGUGACCCCGAUGGUUCAUUUUCUGGUGUCUCUGUGGUGAGCUCCUGUUACAUCAAGCGAGUGGAAACCACCGAGGACCAACAGCCCUGGAAAUGCACUGAGAAUGCAGGAUGAGUGGGCUUUGUGAGGACUGUUUUCUGUGACUUAGCAAGGAAAGCCUGGAAGGGAAAGUAAAACUGCUUCUUCCCAGGGAAGCCAGAAACCUGAGAACUUAAAAGGGAAGGAGAACUUAAUAUAUUUCAAAAAUGUAACCCUUGUGAAUUAGCAACAGCUUUAUAAACAAAGAGAUUUCCGAGCUUAUAGAAUCUAUUCUGCUUUGUUUCUGCCCCCAUGGCUCCUACCCCUGUUUUUGUGGGUACAAUUUUCAUAUAGAACAUUUUUACACAAGCUUCAAAACUCUCUGAGGACAGCUUUCCCCUUUGUGUCUGUCGGGUCCCAGGCAGUCACAUCCCAGGAAGUGCUGGGGUUGGGCUCCUUGCUCCACAUCCUUCUUCAGUGGCACGAAGCGUGGGGUGGAGUGUGUGAGUCAUGUGUGAUCUUGGUGUGGGCUAUGGCUGGUCUGCAGCACCCCUUCAAUGACUGCUUCAAGGGCUUUUCAUGAUGCUUGUAGCUCAUGAGCUAGUGUUUCCUAGAUGCUGUUUCCAGGUGUCUUGCAUGUCACACACUGGCCUACCAGGGCUGGAGUGAGAUCAUGAGCGCCAGAUUGUUGGUGAAGGAAGUUGACAGAGACAUCGAAUGUCGGUGAACAGGAGUGACCUUGGGUCUCAAUAAAUACUGUGGUCAACUGAAUCCAGAACCCACCCUUACCAGCAGGGCCCACUUCUUCCCCAGCAGGCCGAGCUCUUCCCCUCCUGUCUUCCCUGGCCCUUGCUUUGUAGCUCUGUGUGGCUGUGUCAUGUCUGGUUGUAUCUGUAUAUACUUCUGCCUCUCCCGCUAUCUAGAUGGCUCGGGGAGGCACACCACACACCAGGUCACCUUCCUCUCUGAACCCCCAGCACCUCAUACUGUUUCUGUGCAGAGAUAAGGCUGGGUGAAAGCUUGUGUGAAUGAUCUGAAGUCUUCUACUCUAGGCCAGUCUCCAGGAGCAUUAUGAUCUUUAGGAGGGUGGGCUUGGUUCCUCUGUACAAUAAUGGGUCAUAAAACUGAGUGGUCAAGAUCAUCCCGGUGAGGGCAGUCCGUGUGUUGCCAUAGUUGCUGUACCGGUUAAGAAUGCACCUGGCUGCAAUUUCCUGAAAACCUGACGUAUAGUGGCUUAAACAAAGAGUGGUUUAUUUUCCUUCUGUCAUAGCAAUCUGGGGGAGGCCACUGUGGCUUUGGCGCAGGAGGUCGGGAAAGGCCCGCUUCUCUGAUAUCAUUGGGGGCCUCCCCAGUGCUUGUGUGGCAGAAUGACAAGAGGAAGAAGAAGGAGAAUUAUGGCACUGAGUAUCAUGAGAUUUGGGGUCAUAUAUCUUUAGUGGGCGGUGUUUGCUGCCCCAAAUGUCUCAUGCCAUUAAAAUGUUCUGGAAAUGAUUUAGGUAGUUGGAGUUUCCUUCCCAAAGACAAGGCAUUUACAGCAUGAUGUCCAAUAUCCAUUGAGUUUGUGUCAUGCAUUCAUUGUAUUCAUAGUCUGCUUUAGGUACUUAGCAAAAUAUUGCUGAUAUUAACAUGCCUUUGUUUGCUUCACUGGAGAUGAAAUUGUGCUCCAAGUGUUUUCCAAGGUUCCGUAUGACCCAUCAUUUGAUGAAACAAGAACAGCAGUCAGAUCCAUUACAAAGAGAGACACACAAAAAAACUAUGUGAAAAUGAGCUUAGCCCCUGGUGUUGUGUUGGAACUUCAGAUGCUUGCAGACACUUCAUGAAUGCUCUGUGACACUCAGAAUAGGCUAUUCCCAACAGAAGAGCUUGAACAAUGCUGCAUUUGCAUCAGGUUCAAAUGAGCGAGAGGAACAUUUGGCUAAAAUAUUUGGAACCAGCAUUGCUUGGAAUUCUCCUAAACCAGAAUAUUUCCUUGGCAGUGUGGACAAAAUUCCUGAUAAAGAGAUGGGGUUUCACUGUGUUAGCCAGGAUGGUCUCGAUCUCCUGACCUCAUGAUCCGCCCGCCUCGGCCUCCCAAAGUGCUGGGAUUACAGGCGUGAACCACCAUGCCCGGCCCAGAAUGUCCUUUCUUUUCGAAGCGGAGUAAUAUUCCAUUAUCACCUUUCAGAGGAGAAGAAUUUUAAAGAAUCCUGUCUGUUCGACAGGGAUUUAAGAGAGCAGUUAACUACUAUAGAUAAAGAAACACUUCAAGGAGCAGCUAAACCAGAUGCUCACUUUAGGACUAUGCCCUGCGGGCAGCUUCUGCACUUCCUGCAGAGGAACACCAUCAUCGCCGCCGUCUCAGGGGUGGCCAUCCUCAUGGCCAUCGUGCUGUUGCUGCUUGGGUUGGCCUCAUACAUCAGGAAGAAACAGCCAUCAUCUCCUCUGGCAAACACGACAUAUAAUAUUUUUAUAAUGGAUGGAAAGACAUGGUGGCACAAUUCUGAAGAAAAAAAUUUCACAAAACUUGCAAAAAAACAGAAACAGUUGAAGAGCAGCUCCUGUGUCUAAGCCAGGUCGUGGGGCCGUCAAACCAGGACUUGAAACCACAAUGCGAGGACAUUCUCCAUCUGCGCACCACAGGGAGGCAAUUCCAUUUCUGCCCGGGAGGUGUAUUCUACAAAAACGUCUGCUUCCCAUCCCAAUUUGAAUGGACCAAGAAAAACUGCUUUACCAUAGGACACUUGUGGCAAUAUGGCACCGAUGGCUGGCGUCGGUGAACCCGACAGACUAUGGAUUUAUCAUUUAAUAAAGCAUUGAUUCAUUUUUUCAGUCAUUCAUUGAACAGAUAUUAAUAGACCACCUCACAUGCUGACAAUAUCAAAAUACAAUGAGGAAACUAACAGUGACCCAGGCAUGCAUUCUUCCCCGAGCAAGAUCACAGUCCAUGGUGUGAGCACAACCAUACUAAAUAGCUUUUAUGGGAGGUGGGAGUACAGAAAGUAUUAUAUCUGCAAAGAAACUGCUAAGAAUUGUGGGAGCGCCCCAGGAGGUGAUUUCCUGCUUGCGUGACCAGCACAAAGAAAUGGGGUAAUUGAGAGUGUCAUGAAGUGGGGUUAUUUAUUUAUUGAGUC